AUCACUGAUUAAAGACUUAAUAAUUAGGGUUCGGCAUCCAUUAAUAAUAAAACUGAUUUGAUUUAUCUGAUGUGAUUUAAUUGUUAUAUAUGUAUUUUGAUGUGCUAAAUUCUUAUUAUUAUUUGAAUCCGUUUGAGAUUUAAAGAAUUAUUGAAGCAGUCAAUAAUUUAUUUUCUAAUUUAAUAAUUGACUUAGCAAAGUCAAGUUAUUAAUUUAUAUACGAUAAAAAUAGUAUUUCUAUUAUUUAAUUGAAGUCGUGAUUAAUUUUCGACUUAUAAAACGAGUUAUAAAAUAUGUAAUUUGUAGAGAGUUAUAACGAAGCUUCGUUAUAUGGAAACCCGAAAUUAGUAUUACAAAUACGUUAUCAUAUACUUUUCAUUUCCACAUACAUCUAUCUCUUAAAUAAAUUGAUGGUAUUGGAAACACUCAUCAUAUGCAAAUUAUUCCACUAAUUCCACUAAUUCCACUAAACACUCUUUACACUCAUCAUUGCCGGCCAUCUUCUACACUCAUUCCACUAAAUAAUCAUUAUUCCACUACCUCCCCACUACUACACCCUUUUUCCCCACCAAUACACCUAACUCUCCACACACUUCAUUUUUUUUAUUUCUCCACCACUAUAUUCCAUAUUCAGCACUACAUCUUGCAGAUUCCUCAUUAAGAAAUCCUCUCUCUCUAAUCUUCUAAAUUACCAUUUUCUUUCCUCCUACUCCUCACGGGUCCUUCAAAGAAAUUAUCAAGUUUGUUUCAAGUUCCAAAUCAAGAAUCAAGAAGCCACAAAUCCUCAUCUGCCUCUUCAAGGUCCGGGCGACAGAAAGUGAAGCAGAAGAAGAAUCGAUUCCACGCCAGCUUUAAGAACAAUUGAGGUUGAGCAGGCGAUGGAAUGGAUCGGUGUUGAGCGGAUUUCCCUUUUGAUGUUAUGUAAUGAAACCUUGAGUAUGCAUCUCCAUAUGCAUAACUCACACGUUUUUCCGCUGCAAACACUCUGAAUUUGUUAUCGUAUUGUGGAACUUAUUACUCCUUCAUUUUGUUUAACUUUCAUUUGGGGUUUAGUCGUUAUGGCUGGCUCGUUUGUUAAUUACCCAAGUGGUGAUAUAUAUAUAUAUAUACCACUAGUUGUUGUUA